rnacentral:rRNA from 1 species
GACGAACGCUGGCGGCGUGCUUAACACAUGCAAGUCGAACGGAAAGGCCCUGCUUUUGUGGGGUGCUCGAGUGGCGAACGGGUGAGUAACACGUGAGUAACCUGCCCUUGACUUUGGGAUAACUUCAGGAAACUGGGGCUAAUACCGGAUAGGAGCUCCUGCUGCAUGGUGGGGGUUGGAAAGUUUCGGCGGUUGGGGAUGGACUCGCGGCUUAUCAGCUUGUUGGUGGGGUAGUGGCUUACCAAGGCUUUGACGGGUAGCCGGCCUGAGUGGGUGACCGGCCACAUUGGGACUAAGAUACGGCCCAGACUCCUACGGGAGGCAGCAGUGGGGAAUAUUGCACAAUGGGCGGAAGCCUGAUGCAGCAACGCCGCGUGCGGGAUGACGGCCUUCGGGUUGUAAACCGCUUUCGCCUGUGACGAAGCGUGAGUGACGGUAAUGGGUAAAGAAGCACCGGCUAACUACGUG